rnacentral:rRNA from 1 species
CGAACGCUGGCGGCAUGCCUAACACAUGCACGUCGCCCGGGGGGGCUUCGGCCUCCCAGCGGCGGACGGGUGCGGAACGCGUAGGGACCUGUCGAGGGGUGGGGGAUAACCGCGGGAAACUGCGGCUAAUACCGCAUGACGCCGCGGCGUGACAGCCGGGGCCAAAGGCGAACGCCGCCCGCCGAGGGGCCUGCGUCCGAUUAGCUGGUUGGCGGGGUAGCGGCCCACCAAGGCGUCGAUCGGUAGCUGGUCUGAGAGGGUGAUCAGCCACACCGGGACUGAGACACGGCCCGGACUCCUACGGGAGGCAGCAGUGGGGAAUAUUGGACAAUGGGCGCAAGCCUGAUCCAGCAAUGCCGCGUGGGUGAAGAAGGUCUUCGGAUUGUAAAGCCCUUUCGGCGGGGACGAUGGUGACGGUACCCGCAGAAGAAGCCCCGGCUAACUUCGUG